GCGAAUUUGCUGUGUCUGACACCUCAUUUUCUAUACUGCUAUCAAGCUAUUCAGAAGCACACAGUUAUAAAUGAAAUUUGUGAUCCACAAACGUAUUUCACAAGUACGUUUUAGGCACUUUAUCUGCAUGUAACUUAUGAACAUUAAAAUGCUGAUAGAAGCAUGCACUAUCACCCCUCUGUGGCAAUAUUAACUAUAAGAAAUAUAUUUAUAGCUGCCGACAUUUCCUCUUUUAGCAUUUGCGGACUAAACUUUAGGACUUACAAACCAACAGAACCAACAUCUUCAGAAGUGGCCACAACGUUCUGUAGCACUUUUAAAUCAAUUUUCAUUUAAUUUCAUGGCAGGAAUUAGAAGAAACCGAAGCGAGAAAGUAUUCAUUAGAUCUGAGAAUAAAAUUUCCUCUGGCAUGUAAGGUAGCUCCAUUUGCUUUAAUGCAGACUUUCAAGAAGAGUAGUAUUUUUCACUGCAAAGAAGCAUGCCAAGACAUUUCUCUAAGAGCCAACAUUACUUAAUGCUUCCAGUCUUCUGUGUACUGGCCAUAUACUGCAGGAUAAGACAGCAUGAGAGAGGAACUGGAGAUUGUCAUUCCAAGAGUGGACACUGCAAGGCAAAGAUAGCUGUUGGACGUGGUGGUGGGGCUGCUGCAGCAAGUCAUGGCAUCUGAACAAGGCAAAGACCAGCCAACUGUCCAGGUCUCUGGGCACGUCUGCAGAGGAAAUCAUGAUCUGGAUGGCUGAGCAGCCAGAGGAGUGAAGAACUGGUUGGAUGACUAGUUGGAGAGUGUAGUCCUCUGUGGAAGCUGGCAACUGUCAGGAUCUGUGCUGGGACCUGUCCCGCUUUACAACUUUACCAGUGACCUGGAGGGAUUAUGCACUCACAUACAUUUGGCAUAUGCUACCAAACUGGAGGUGAACAGCAGAUAAGCUGGAAGGCAAUGCUCCACCCACCAGAUACCUAGACAGGUUGAGAAAAUGUGCUUACAGGAACUUCAUUAAACUCAGCAAGAACAAAUGCAAGUUCCUGACCCUAAGAAGGAAGACUCCCUGGCAGUGAUAGAGACUGGGAAGCAGCAAUUCCAGGGAGAAGGCUCUGCGAGACAGCAAUAUGAAUGCUUGUAGCAGGGAAGCCAGCAAAUCCAGAGCAGUGUUAACAGGAACUCAGUUGGUCAAGGGAAGUGACUAUCCCGUGCUUUACUUAGCGCUUGUUAGAUCACGUCUGAACACUGUGUGCAGUUCUGGGCUCCCCAGUACAGGAAACACAUUGUUAAUCUGGGAUGAAAUCAGUGGAAGGCCACCAAGAUGUCUAAGGAUGAAGCCCUUUCCAAAUGAAGAAAGGCUGAGGGAGAAAGGUUUCUUCAGCCUUGAGAACGGACAACUUCCAGGGCACCAACAGCAGACCUCAGUGCCUAUGGGGAGAUAAACAAGGAGAUACAGCCAGGCCCUUUACAGCAGUGCAUGGGGAUUGCUGAGACAGUGGCACAAACUGGAACAGACCAGAUGAGACUGUACAUAAGGAAGAAUUUUUCCCUAUGAGGACUCUCAGGCGGUAGAACGGGUUGCCAAGAGAGAUUGCAUUCUUUCCAUUCUUGAUGGUCUUCAUCAAAGGAGUUGGACUAGAUGACUUUUAAGGGUCCCUUCCAACUCAAAUGAUUCUAUGAUUCAUGACCUGACUGGACAAAGCCCUGAUGAACCAGUUCUGUCCUCAGUGAGCAAGACACUGGAAUGGAGAUUUACUGAGGUCCCUCCUAGCCUGAAAUGUCCUAUGUGUUAAUGACCUAUAUUUUAUGAUCUUAGUCACCUUUAUGAUUAACAACAUGUCUAGAAUGUGGUUAAUUUGACCUAAUUAUAAGAGGAAUGUUGUUGUACAAUUGCCUGUUUCUUCACUAUGAAGAUAGUACAGACAGCUCAGAUCUAAUUAUCAAUAUAUGAAAUAUCUAAAAUUAGGUCAGAUUUUCAUCAAAAUAUGAGGAAGCACUUUACUGUGUAAGUGUUGGAAUACUGGCACGGGUUGCCCAGGGAGUUUCUGGUGUCUUCUCCUUACAGACCUUUAGAAGCUGCCUGCAUAUAGAAUCAUAGAAUGAUAGAAUCAUAUGAUCCUGAGCAACCUGCCCUAGUUGUCCCUAUUGAACAGGGGUUGGGCCGGAUGGACCCAGAGGUCCCUGCCAGCCUCAGCCAUUCUUUGACUCUAAUUUUGUGGAUCCUACCCUGAGUGUCUGUUCCCAGCUCUCUGAAGGCCUUGGCUAGAUAUGAAAGAAAGAAAGAAGAUAUUUCUGUGUAGUGCCAUGGCAGCUAUAACACUUGCCCAAAACGAAAGUUAUCUUAAAUCUAGACUCCUCCGAUUUUUAUUUUUUAAUCUGAAACCGUGUUGAUACAAAACUAAUAUAUAUCCAUAGUAUGGAUUUUGCCUGGUUCACUCAGAACACUAAGAAGGUCAAGUUAUUGCCUUCCUUACUUCAAUCUUUACUGCUAAGACUUCCCCUUGGGAAUCCCAGACCCUGAAGGCAAGAGAGAGAGUCUGUGGAAAGGAAGGCCUCCCCUUGGUCGAGGAGGAUCUGGUGAGAGAUUGUCCUGACGUAAGGAACAAGGUGUAGCAGAGUUGGACUAGAUGAUUUCCAGAUGUCCCUUCCAACCUCUUUAAUUCUAUGAUUCCUUUCUCUGGCCUUCUGUUCCUUGCUGGGCUGUGUACCGUGCACUGUGCACCAUGCUUUGGGCUCUGUCGUGCCAUGAUGGAAGCGUGACUUCUUUCUGAGCAAACUUCAAGUCCAUUUUUCCCUUUUCCUCAGGAAAUGGAGAGUCUAGCUGCUAAUAAUUCUAUGACUCACUUGUCUGAGCAUCAGAAAAAAAUGGGAAAGAAAACUUCUUCAUAGACUUCUGCUGGGACUUGCUUUCUUCACAUAGCCUUCACAUAAUUGGUAAAUAGACUACAGAAUUACCAUUUAUGUUAUCACAUUAUCUUGCACCUUUUGCCAGUGUAACUCUGACAUAAUCAGUUUAUAUACGUACAAAUGCAUUUUAUAGCUGUAUCUAUAGCCAUAAAAACAUCAUAAUGUUCAUUUAUGUUACUAAUAACAAGUUGGAAAUAAACAGUUAAAUUAAGUGCAUCAAUAAAUGAUAACAGAUAUAA